AUUGAACGCUGGCGGCAGGCCUAACACAUGCAAGUCGAGCGAGCGGCGGACGGGUGAGUAAUGUCUGGGAAACUGCCUGAUGGAGGGGGAUAACUACUGGAAACGGUAGCUAAUACCGCAUACCAUCAGAUGUGCCCAGAUGGGAGUAGCUAGUAGGUGGGGUAACGGCUCACCUAGGCGACGAUCCCUAGCUGGUCUGAGAGGAUGACCAGCCAAACUGGAACUGGGGCACGGUCCAGCCGCCUACGGGAGGCAGCAGUGGGGAAUAUUGGACAAUGGGCGCAAGCCUGAUGCUGCCAUGCCGCGUGUGUGAAGAAGGUCUUCGGGUUGUAAAGUACUUUCAGUUGGGAGGCGUUACCCGCAGAAGAAGCACCGGCUAACUCCGUGCCAGCAGCCGCGGUAAUUC
rnacentral:rRNA from 1 species